rnacentral:lncRNA from 1 species
GCGGGCGUCGGCUUCUAAUGACAAGGUUUGUAAGGGAUUUAUGAUGAUAUGGCAUGCAACACUUUGGUCCCUUUUGAAGGCUCGGAAUAGCUCUAUAUUCGCGAAUGGAUCUUACGUCCCUAAGGAGAUGGUGGAAGAGAUUAAAGUGUUGAGCUGGAAAUGGAGUUUAUCUAGAUUAAAAGUGUCCUCUUGUAUGUUUUAUGAAUGGACUUGGGAUCCCGGAAAUUGCUUACGGCGCUAAUUCGAUAUGUUUUUUUUGGUGGUGUCUUUCUUUUGGUGUCUGUUUGCUUUAGUUUUUAUUUUUAGAGUUUGUUGUUGUUGCUGUUUUGGGCGUUAGUUGCCUGCUCUGUGGUGUUGUAUUGUUGCAGAGUGGAACAGGCCUGGCUUUGUAUUGAAUAGGGGAUUAUGUCUGUUAAUUUUUAUAGCUACUCUAGCUUUUCUUGUUCUAGAGGAAGCCUAAUAAUAUUUUGCUGAUUAAAAAAAAAAAUUAAUACUCCUUCUUGUGGUUUAAAUUAUGAGUCAUUUUGGAAAAAAAGUUGUAACCUAAAUUAUAAAUCAAUUUUAUAAUACCA